UACGUAGGUGGCAAGCGUUGUUCGGAAUUAUUGGGCGUAAAGGGCGCGUAGGCGGUUUUGUAAGUCAGCUGUGAAAGCCCGGGGCUCAACCCCGGAGGGUCGGCUGAUACUGCAGGACUAGAGUUCGGAAGAGGCAAGUGGAAUUCCUGGUGUAGCGGUGGAAUGCGCAGAUAUCAGGAGGAACACCUAUAGCGAAGGCAGCUUGCUGGGACGACACUGACGCUGAGGCGCGAAAGCGUGGGGAGCGAACAGG
rnacentral:rRNA from 1 species